CAUGAAAUUCUUAAAGGGGACCCUAAUUGGAGUGAGACUUCACCAUUGAGAUGCUCCUGUCGGAUAUCACACAAUCGGCCACCUGCACAUGACACAAAUUAUGUGUCCGUACAAGACGACUUGUCAACGACUCUUUGGGACAUUUGUGAAAACAGGAGGACAGCCAGCCAAACCGACUCCCGUUUAUCACAAAAUAAAGACAAAUGUUCAUUUGAGGUGAACUGCAUUACAGAAAUGCCACCCUGCGGCAAAGCACAAAAAUCACCAGGAUAUGGGGUUGGGGUGAAGGAAGAAAGUGAACACGCUCAGAGUCCCUCAAGGUGCUAACUGAACAUGAGUCUUUUCCAGGGCAGCACCUGGAGACUCCGUAUCCAGUGUUUGUGACACGCUGUUGCCCAUGGCUGCCUUCCAGCAGUGCUUCUUCAGGGAUCCGAGCAUGUAGAACAGGAGCUGGAACAACCGCCCGGAAUCUUCAGCC
ensembl:lncRNA